rnacentral:rRNA from 1 species
AGCAGUGGGGAAUUUUGGACAAUGGGGGCAACCCUGAUCCAGCAAUGCCGCGUGAGUGAAGAAGGCCUUCGGGUUGUAAAGCUCUUUUGUCAGGGAAGAAACGGUUUGUUCUAAUAAAGCAGACUAAUGACGGUACCUGAAGAAUAAGCACCGGCUAACUACGUGCCAGCAGCCGCGGGUAAUACGUAGGGUGCAAGCGUUAAUCGGAAUUACUGGGCGUAAAGCGUGCGCAGGCGGUUUUUUAAGACAGAUGUGAAAUGCCCGGGCUCAACCUGGUAACUGCAUUUGUGACUGGAAGGCUAGAGUGUGUCAGAGGGGGGUAGAAUUCCACGUGUAGCAGUGAAAUGCGUAGAGAUGUGGAGGAAUACCGAUGGCGAAGGCAGCCCCCUGGGAUAACACUGACGCUCAUG